AACGCACGAGACCUGCGGACCUGCGGAGGGAUCAUUACAAAAGUUAUACACUUGGGGAACGGACUCGUCUUUCGGGACUUGAGGCCUGACUCCAUUUGUAACACAACUUCAACCACUUGUGAACAUGUAAUAAUAUCUCACCAAUUGACUGUUAACGAAGUCUGAUUCAAAUUGUAUUGGUGUUAAUAGACACUAGUAAAAUAUGAAACAACUUUCAACAACGGAUCUCUAGAUCGGAAG
rnacentral:misc_RNA from 1 species